rnacentral:lncRNA from 1 species
GUGAUUCGUUCCGCCCCUUCCCCGCCCUCCAUCAAUAAACUACGGGCAAAGGUAGAAGUGACCUGAAGUAGUGGAAGGCCGUGGGCGAGCGCCGCAAGGGCGCCAUUGUUAAGAAGCCCAUGUUUUCCCAACCCCAGCCCAGGACAUCUGGUCUGACAAAGGACUCUCUUCUGAUGCGUGCGUGUAUUUCUCAUACCGAAAAGCCGUCCGGCUCCAGUCAAAAGCACUCAGCACAGAUCGCUUUGAGAGUUUUCCAGCUGCUGUCUUUUCUUCUUCCGCGGCAGGCCCUGGGUGAGCUACAUACGGGUCUUCGGUUGACUUUUCACCCCUUCUCCCAGAAUAACUGCGGGCGUGGCACUGCCCCACAAGCCUACAACUUGAGAGCUUGCCCUUCGGUGAAACUCCUCCCAUCCUUGAUCUGGGACUGCACCUGGCCUACCUCUGCUGCCUCCCCCCACCCUCCCUCUCCCCCCUCCACGCAGCCACCCUCUCCUCCCCCGCGGGGCCUCCCCAGACCACUCCACCCACAGCUCCUCUCCUUCCAAGGGCUCUGUAAUUUAUGCUCUUCACACGGCGCCUCCGACAAUUAAUCACCACUUAUCAGCCGCGUGACCUUCAGUAAGCCCAGAAGCUUGUCGUGAGAAUUUAAUGAGAUCAAGCCUAUAAAAUAAAUACCUCUCACAGUGUGGGGCGCA